AUUGAACGCUGGCGGCAGGCCUAACACAUGCAAGUCGAGCGAGCGGCGGACGGGUGAGUAAUGUCUGGGAAACUGCCUGAUGGAGGGGGAUAACUACUGGAAACGGUAGCUAAUACCGCAUACCAUCAGAUGUGCCCAGAGGGGAUGAGCUAGUCGGUGGGGUAAAGGCUCACCUAGGCGACUAUCCCUAGCUGGUCUGAGAGGAUGACAAGCCACACUGGAACUGAGCCACGGGCCAGACUCCGACGUGAGGCAGAAGUGGGGAAUAUGGCACAAGGGGCGCAAGCCUGAUGCAGCCAUGCGGCGUGUGUGAAGAAGGCCUGCGGGUUGUAAAGCACUUUCAGCGGGGAGGCGUUACCCGCAGAAGAAGCACCGGCUAACUCCGUGCCAGCAGCCGCGGUAAUAC
rnacentral:rRNA from 1 species